UACGUAGGGGGCGAGCGUUGUCCGGAAUGACUGGGCGUAAAGGGCGUGUAGGCGGUCAUUUAAGUCUGGAGUGAAAGUCCUGCAUUCAAUGUGGGAAUAGCUUUGGAUACUGGAUGACUUGAGUGCGGAAGAGGUAAGUGGAAUUCCCAGUGUAGCGGUGAAAUGCGUAGAGAUUGGGAGGAACACCAGUGGCGAAGGCGACUUACUGGGCCGUAACUGACGCUGAGGCGCGAAAGCGUGGGGAG
rnacentral:rRNA from 1 species